GAAAUUUCAUCAACCUACUUCGUUUCCAAAUCAAGAGAUCUUAUUUUCCAUCAUCCUGAAAGAGGUUCAGAACUGAUGAUGUAGCAUGUCGUUUUUCAUCAAACAGAUAAAAAGGUUUAGUUUAGAGAUGAUCAUAUAUAUAGCUUUGAUUUGAUGCACAGGUGGGUGUCAGCCUGAUGGCCUUUCAGCAACUGGGAGGAAUAAACGUGUUAGGCCUCUAUACAAGCUAUAUCUUUUCAUCAGCAGAUACCAAUCACAUUAUUCGGGGCCCUUCUCGUGGAUAGGUGUGGAAGGAGAACCCUUCUACUGGUGUCUUCAUCUGGCACAUUUGUGGGCUGCUUUCUUACUGGGCUAUCAUUCUACUUUAAGGCAUACUAUGGGGCAUACUCAAUUUGAAUGGGACCUGUUCCUUG